rnacentral:rRNA from 1 species
CAAGUCGAGCGGUAGCACAGAGAAGCUUGCUUCUUGGGUGACGAGCGGCGGACGGGUGAGUAAUGCAUAGGAAUCUGCCCGAUAGUGGGGGAUAACCUGGGGAAACCCAGGCUAAUACCGCAUACGUCCUACGGGAGAAAGGGGGCUUCGGCUCCCGCUAUUGGAUGAGCCUAUGUCGGAUUAGCUAGUUGGUGAGGUAAAGGCUCACCAAGGCAACGAUCCGUAGCUGGUCUGAGAGGAUGAUCAGCCACAUCGGGACUGAGACACGGCCCGAACUCCUACGGGAGGCAGCAGUGGGGAAUAUUGGACAAUGGGCGCAAGCCUGAUCCAGCCAUGCCGCGUGUGUGAAGAAGGCCCUCGGGUUGUAAAGCACUUUCAGCGAGGAAGAACGCCUAGCGGUUAAUACCCGCUAGGAAAGACAUCACUCGCAGAAGAAGCACCGGCUAACUCCGUGCCAGCAGCCGCGGUAAUACGGAGGGUGCAAGCGUUAAUCGGAAUUACUGGGCGUAAAGCGCGCGUAGGUGGCUUGAUAAGCCGGUUGUGAAAGCCCCGGGCUCAACCUGGGAACGGCAUCCGGAA